rnacentral:misc_RNA from 1 species
AACCAUAGAAACCUGCGGAGUACCUGCGGAAGGAUCAUUACCGAGUUUACAACUCCCAAACCCCUGUGAACAUACCUAUACGUUGCCUCGGCGGAUCAGCCCGCGCCCUGUAAAAAGGGACGGCCCGCCCGAGGACCCCUAAACUCUGUUUUUAGUGGAACUUCUGAGUAAAACAAACAAAUAAAUCAAAACUUUUAACAACGGAUCU